rnacentral:rRNA from 1 species
GGGAAUUUAAACCUCUUCCAGAAGUAUCAAUUUCGGAGGGCAAGUCUGGUGCCAGCAGCCGCGGUAAUUCCAGCUCCAAUAGCGUAUAUUAAAUUUGUUGCAGUUAAAAAGCUCGUAGUUGAAUUUCUGCUGCAUUACAUUUCUCUUGUUUGAGUAUGUUAUCGUGGCUUAUUUCGGAUUGAUUUUUAUCAUUCCGGAUGAUUACUUUGAGAAAAUUAGAGUGCUCAAAGCAGGCUUUUGCCUUGAAUAGUUUAGCAUGGAAUAAUAGAGUAGGACUUUGGUUCUAUUUUGUUGGUUUUAGGUACCAAAGUGAUGGUUAAUAGGAACAGUUGGGGGCAUUCGUAUUUAACUGUCAAAGGUGAAAUUCUUAGAUUUGUUAAAGACGAACUACUGCGAAAGCAUUUGCCAAGGAUGUUUUCAUUAAUCAAGAAC